AGGAUUAAAUCUUCGAUUUUUUUUUGUAUUUCUACGUUUUGUUCAUCAAAUCGUCAUCAUGCAACGUAUUUAAGUAGAUUCAAUGAAAAAAUCAACCGCCGCACAUUUCAACACCGCACCUCAUCCACAUCUAAGCAUAAGAUUUAUUCUCACCUCUCACCCAAUAACAACAACAACAAAGUCAACAACGUCAUCAAAAUCGAUCACCAAGUCCACUGACGAUUUCUAUCAACAUUGAAAUAUUAUUAUAUAUCUAUAAAUAUAAUUAAUUAAAGAAAGAAAAAAAAAUGAAGUAAAUAAAUAUUAGUAAAAUUAAUGAAAAAAAAAAAUCAUUUUAUAUGUGCGUUCAAAAUUUAGAUAAACAAAAAUGUUUAAAUUUAAAAAAAAAAUAAUUAAUGAAUGAAAAAUAACAAAAAGUGCAAGCAAGAACGUCCCCAAAAUUUGCCACUCAUACACGGGACUGAAAUUCUGGAUUUUAUCAUAACAAAAAAAAAAUUAAGUAAGUGUUACAUACUACAAUUUAAUGAUUAAUUAAAGAAAAAAAUGAGAAAAAGUUACUUUUAAGGCAACAACAAACAAAAUUCAAGAUGAAAACAACUGAGAAACAUUAGGAUAUAAGUCUCAAACUUAAGGAUAAACCCUCUUAAUUUUAAGUUAUAUAAUAUUUACAUAUAGAGUACUGCGACGAGUUAUUAAUUA